rnacentral:rRNA from 1 species
AGAGCGAACGCUGGCGGCAGGCCUAAAACAUGCAAGUCGAACGAGCCCUUCGGGGUUAGUGGCGGACGGGUGAGUAACACGUGGGAACGUGCCCUUUGGUUCGGAACAACUCAGGGAAACUUGAGCUAAUACCGAAUGUGCCCUACGGGGGAAAGAUUUAUCGCCAUUGGAGCGGCCCGCGUCUGAUUAGCUAGUUGGUGAGGUAAAGGCCCACCAAGGCUACGAUCAGUAGCUGGUCUGAGAGGAUGAUCAGCCACACUGGGACUGAGACACGGCCCAGACUCCUACGGGAGGCAGCAGUUAGGAAUCUUGCGCAAUGGGCGAAAGCCUGACGCAGCCAUGCCGCGUGAAUGAUGAAGGUCUUAGGAUUGUAAAAUUCUUUCAGUGGGGAAGAUAAUGACGGUACCCACAGAAGAAGCGUCCGGCUAACUUCGUGCCAGCAGCCGC